AUGAUGACAAAAUUACAAGAGGAGGAAAAGGAGAUGGAAAAGAAACAAGCGAGUCUACAAAACUGGGAAAGACUGCUGCAAUCAGAAAGAGAGGAGAACCAGAGAGGUUUAGAUGUAAUAUGGAAAGAGAAGAAGCAGCUGGAUCAAAGAAAACAAGAACUAGACAAUAUGGAAAUAAAUCUACAGAGAGAGAAAUAUGAAUUGGAAAAAACAAGAAAGAUUAAGCAAGCUGAUGUGCAAGUCCAAACUGAUGUGAUGGAUGAUGUAGGAAAACAUCAGAUGAUCUUGACCAUGGAGGAGCUGGAUAAAGAGCGACAAGCACUAGAGUAUUUAAAAAAAGACUUACUUGCACAAAAAAGUACAAUUGAGAGACAACUGGCAGAAAUAAAAAUGAGCAAGGAUGAAUUUUCGCUCAAAGAAGUCGCACUGCAAACUGCAACAAAACACGCAGCAGACAUGGAGUUGCAAUUAGAACAGCGAAAACAGGAGCUAGAACAAACAAAAGAUGAGCUGGAAAAGACAAAGCUAGAAAUACAGAAAGGAUGGGAUGACCUGCAGGCUGAGAUUGCAGAAAGCAGAGAAAAAGAAGACAUGAUAAGAACAGAAUUAGAAAAAGCAAGAGAUGUCCUAAAUCACAUUAGACAGGAUAUAGAAAAACAAAAACAAACCAUGGAGGCUGAUCUAAAAGACACUUUUGCUAGAGAACUAGAAGACAUCGAAGCUCAGCAAAAAAGGAUAGAGGAUGAAAAGAGAACAUUAGAGAACAUGAAAUAUGAGCUGGAAAAGGAGUCUAGUGAUGUUGAAAGGUUAAAACAGAAUGUGCAGAAAGAAAGACAGAACAUGGAGAAAUGGGCAGAGCAGCUCAAAAAAGAGAGGGAGGAACUAGAAAAGAAAAUGUGUGAUAUUCAACAAAUACAAGCACAGAUAGUGAGAGAAAAGAAAGAGCUAGAGAAUUCGAGAGAGGAGAAUGAGCAGACAUUGAAGGAGAUCAUAAUGGAGAGAGACACUCUUGAGAAACAAAAAGAUGAUUUUGAGAAUGAGAAGGAAGAAAUCAAGAAAAGAGAAAAUGAACUGCAGCAAAUGCAAGCUGAUCUUAACAGACAACAAAAAGACAUGCAUGAUAUUCAGAAUAUAGUUUUCAUGCAAAAAAGUCAACUUCAGAUAAGCCAAGAGGAAAUAGCUGAAAAGCUAAAACAGGUCGAUAACAUCAUGCAGUUCACACAAAAUGAAAAAGACAGUCUUGACAGAGAGAGGGCGGCUAUAAUGGAGCAGAAGCAGCAGAUGGAGAGAAACAUGACAGAUGCACUAAACAGAGAACUGGAAACUGUGGAACUUGUGAAACAAGAGAUACUAAAUGAGAAGCGACUUAUUGAGGACUGCAGAAUAGCUUUAAUGAGAGAGAUACAAGAUUUGGAGCAAAAGAAAAUCAAUUUGGGGGCUCAGGCGGAUGAGAUAAAAUUACAAAGACAAAGUAUUGCAGAAGAGAAAAACACGUUGGAACAAACUAAAUCUUUGCUGCAAAGAGUAGCUGAAGAUACUGAGAAGCUAAGACAAGAUACACAAGCUGAAAGACAUAAACUUAAAAACACUGCUGUGCAACUUCAGAAAGAGAGAGAUGCCAUUGUGAGUCUUGCAGAGGAGACAAAAAGGAAGAGGGAGGACCUGGACAAAAUGGAAACUGAUAUAGAAAAGCAUGAAAAAGCCAUGAAGGCUAAUCUGCAAAAAGAAGCCAGUGUCAUUGAAAAUUUAAGACAAGCUGUUCAAAAUGACAUACAAAACAUAAAAGAUAUGGAAGCCAAAAUUCAAAAAGAAAGACAAUACACUUAUAGUCUAGUUGAAGAGACUGAAAAAAGGUCAAAAGCUCUAGAUGAGCUACAUAUGGAGGUUGAAAAAGAAAAGCAAUGUGUUGAGUCUGAGAGAGAUGUGCUAGAACAAGAGAAGUUUAAGCUUAAAGAACUCAAAGAUGAAUUUGCUCAGCAAAAAGAACAGAACAGUAUUAUACUGGCAGAGAUACAGAAAGAAAGAGACAAUCUUAAGCAGUUGAUUGAAACCAUCUCAAAUCAAAGGUGCAUUGUUGAAAAUGAUAAAGAAAAUUUAAGACUGAGAGAAAAUGAACUGAAACAAAAAGAAGCAGAGAUGGAAAACAAACAAAAACAAAUAGAUGAGUUGAAGAGCAUUUUAAGGAUGGAAAAGAUGCAAGUUGAGCAGAUGCAAGCUGACCAAGAUCAACACAGGACAGCUGCACAUGAAAAAAUACAAUAUGUUAAGACUGUAAGAGAAAGAGAAGCGGCAGAUCUGGAGAAAGAGAGACAGGAAAUUGAGAAUUUGAGAGAAGAAUUGAGGGUAGAAUAUGAAAAUGUGGAGCUCCUAAAGGAAAAUCUAACUGAACAAAAAGAAGUAUUUAAAAGCCACAUGAAAUCACUGGAAAUGGAUAAGGACGACAUAGAGAAAAAUAAAGCCAAACUGCACAAAGAAUUUGAAAACUUGCAGUUUCACAGGCAAUCUUUUGAGAAAGAGAUACAGCAGGUGAGAGCUGAGCUUCAGAAAGAGACUGACAAUACUGAGAGAAUAAAGAAAGAGGUGGUGGCUGAAAAGCAGAGUAUAAAAGACAUGGCAGCUCAAAUUGAACAUGAGGGAAAUGACAGAAAAGAAGCUCUGGAGAGGAUGCGUCUUGAGCUAGAAAAACAAAAGCAAACAACUGAGACUGAAAAAGAUAUACUAGAAAAACAGAAAUCUGAAGUGGAGAGAAGCAAAACAGAGAUAGCUAGAGCAGAAGAAGAUCUUGCUGAAAAGAGAAAAAUGUAUGAUAUUGAUCGGUCAGAGAUAGAGAAGCAAACAAAUUCCCUUGAGCAAAUAAAGAUGAACAUCUCACAAGCGGAACAUGAUAUUAAAAAAGCCAAGGACAGUUUAAGACAUCAAGAAAAUGAACUGAAUAUACGUACCUCACAACUUUAUGCACAACAAAAAGAAAUAGAAGAGACUCAGGAUAUUAUCAUGAAACAGAAGAGUCAGCUUAAUGAAAAGCAGGAUGAAAUAGAAAAACAAAAGCGAGAACUGGAGAAUGUGAUGGACAGACUUGAGAAAGAGAGGACUGAUGUUAUGGAAGAAAGACAAAGAGUGAAUGACAUGCAAGUAGAACUGAAGAGGGAAAGUGAAAUAGUGGAGCUGAUGAAACAAGAAGUUCUCAGAGAAAAAGAAUCUAUUGAAAACAGCAGGAAAAUACUAAAAAGAAAUCAAGAGGAUAUUCAAGAAAAUAGAACCAUCUUAUCGCAAGAGUUUGAGACCUUAAACUACCAGAAACAAUUGAUUGGCGAAGAAAAGCAGGAAUUUUAUAAGAUGAAAACUGAGCUCCAACAGGAAAAGGAAAAUAUUGCUAAACUAAGGGAAGACAUAGAAAAUGACAGGCAGAAGGUUGAGGAAAUAGCAAACAAACUUCAAAAAGAAAAGGAAGUUAUAGAGACUUCUUUUGCAAGGCUAAGAUCAGAGGAAGCAGAUUUAAGAAAACAAAAACAAACAAUUGAAUCUGAAAAGGAAAAGUCUGUCCUGGAGAAAACUAAAACAGAGAUAUCCAGAGCGAAAGAAGAUCUUGAGAACCAACUUGAAUCACAUAAAAGGCAAAAUGAAGUAACACUGGCUGAGAUACACAAAGAGAAACACAUUCUUGAGCAGUUAAGAAUGAACAUAUCAAGACAGAGAGAUGAUCUAGAAAAGGACAUUGAGCAAACAAGAUACAAACAAGCAGAGCUGCAAAGUCUAAAAAUGGAAAUUCAGAAACAGCAAACAGAGAUAGAUGAGCAGAAGGUGAUGAUUUCCAUGGAGAAGAGUGGGCUUAAAGACAUACAAAUUCAAAUAGAUCAACAGAAAAAAGAGACAGAUGAAACCAAAGAACAGAUAAGGAAGGAGAGAGAUUAUAUCGAGAGGGAAAGAGCAGAAAUAAUUAAUCAAAAACAGCAUAUGGAGGUAAAUUUAAGGGAAGAACUAAAAAAGGAGAGUGAAAAGUUAGAACUGCUCAGAAAGGAGUUGUAUGAUGAAAAGGAAAGAAUUGACAAAAGCAGGAAAAGCAUAAAAACAGAUAUGGAUGCUUUGGAACAAACAAAGCUUGAUGUAGUUAAAGAGUUGGAGAUUAUCCAGCUUCAGAAACAAAUGAUCGAGGAUGAGAAAAACAAGACUGAGCAGAUAAAAGCUGAGCUAAAAAGAGAAGCUGAAGACAUUGAGAAGAUAAAAGUAGUGACACAAAAUGAAAGACAGAAGCUUCAGGAAGCAACAACCCACCAUCAGAAAGAUAGAGACAAUGUUCAGAGUCUUACAGAGGAACUUGACAAGAAAAAAGUGGCUCUAGAAAAUGUGCAACGGGAGAUAGAAAUGCAAAGGAAAGCAAAUGAGUCUAAUAAACAGAUGCAAGAAAGGGCUCUGUUUGAGCUGAAGAAAACUGUGACAGAUAUAGCAAGAGCGAAGGAGGAUCUUGAAAACCAGCUUGUUGAAGAAAGAGAAAAGAACAAGAUCACACUAGCAGAAAAAGACAUGCUUCUUCUACUGAGAGACAGUAUUUCAGAGCAACAGGAUAACAUUGCAAAUGAGAGAGAGCAAAUGAGACUUAGAGAGACUGAACUUGAACAACUCCAAGCUCUGAUUUAUAGACAGCAAGAUGAAAUGGAAGCCACACGAAAAGCUCUCACAAUGGAAAAAAGUAGACUUGAGGAGAAGAAAACUGAAAUAGAUCAAAAAUGGAGAAAAGUAAAUGAAAUCAUGGAAUUUACAACAGGAGAAAAGGCUUAUCUUGAGAAAGAGAGGUCUGAAAUGAUAGCACAGAAACACCAAAUGGAGAAUGAACUGGAGCUCUUUAAGGUGGAACUGAAUAAUGAAAAAGAAUUAACUGAAGAAAGGACCCAAAUGUUAACAACAUACAAGGCUGACAUAGAAGAAAAAAGAGCAGCCCUAGAGAUAGAGAUAAAGAAGCUUGACUAUCAUAAAAAAGCUAUUCGAGAUGAGAAGGAUAAUGUUGAACAGAUGAAAACUGAGCUGCAAAGAGAAGCUGAUGACAUCAGAAAGCUAAAAGAAGAAACACAAAUUGAAAGACAGAGUUUGGAAAAGAUGGCAAAAGAACUUCAGAAAGAGAGAGAAGCUUUGGGGAAUGAGAAGGAAGUGAUAAAACAGAUCAAAACUGAAUUGCAAAGAGAAGCAUGUGAGCUUGAGAAGAUCAAACUAGAAACACAACAUGAAAGACAAAGGAUUGAUGAAAUGGCAGCUCAACUCCAGAAAGAGAGAGAAGAAAUCAAUAGUCUUAUUGUGGAAAUUAAAAAGAAGAGAGAUGUUCUGGAUGAAACCUAUACUGAAAUACAAAGGGAACAAGAAGCAAUUGAGAGAGGCAAAGACUUGAUUAGAAGGGAAUGGUCUGACCUAGAGAAAACCAAAGUGGAGAUGUCUCAAACCAAGGAAGAGAUUGAAAAACAAAAAACAAACAUUGAGAUCACAUUGGCAGAGAUGCAAAAAGAGAGAAACAUGCUUGAACGCAUGAGUGAGAAAAUAACAAUAGAAAGAAAUAUGCUUGAAGAUGAAAAGGAAGAAUUAAGAAUAGGAAAGGAAGAACUUGAAAGAAUGCGGGCAGACAUCGAAAGACAACAAGAAGAUACUGAUCACCUGAGGUUUGGCAUAACAGAAGAGAGUCUGUUUGAGAAGUCAGAGGCUGAAAUGGUUCUUCAGACAGAGAGUGACGUGGAUGAAGUCAAGUCUUUAACAGGAAAAGAAAUGUCAGAUCCAGAUAGACAUAGUGUUUCGAUGGAGCAGAUGCUGAAAAUGGACUUAAAAGAUACCUUAGAAACAGAAGCUGAGAACCAAAAGUCAGAUUUUCCUGAAGUUGAGGAUGAUUUACCUCAUAAACAGGAGAUGAUGUUAGAGAAGAAGUUUAUUGAAGAUGAAAAGGACAAGCUGGAAAAGAUAAGAGCUGAAUUACACAAAGAAGCUGAUCACAUUGAAAAGAAAAAGCAGGACAUGCAGAACGAAAGACAGAAGCUAGAAGAAAUGGCUGCUCAACUUCAUGAAGAGAGAAGAAGUCUUGAAAGUCUUAAUGAGGAGAUUAAUGUUCAGAAUUUCAAUCAACAAAAGCAAGCAACAGAGUCUGAAAUGGAGAAGACUGAUUCAGAGAAAAUCAAAACAGAAAUUGCUAAAGCCAACAAACUUCUUGCAGCACAUCAGGAGAAGAAUGAGAUGACAAUAGAAGAGAUGCGGAGAGAGAGAGACACUCUUGAAGAAAUGAGGGUGAGCAUCUCAAAACAAGCAGAGACUAUUACAAAAGGUAAUGAAAAUCUUUCUCGCAGAGAAAGUGAACUUGCAAAGCUGCAGGAAGACAUUUUACAACAACAAAAUGAAAUGGAUGAACUGAAAACCACAAUCAUGAUGGGAAUGAGUCAUCUGGACCAGAGACAAACUGACAUUGAUCAAUUACAGCGGGAGGUUGAUGAUCUAAUGGAAUUCACAAAGACAGAAAUGACCAACGUAGAAAGAGAAAGAGUGGAAAUGAUGGCACAGAAGAGAGAUAUAGAGAGAGAUAUGGUCAGUAUAGAGGAAGAAAAGAAGACCUGUGAACAACUGAGACUAAAAUUAUUUGAGGAAAAGGAUCGGGUUGAAAAAGACAGAGAACUGUUGACCAAAAAUUUGUAUCAUAUGGAGAGGCAGAAAAUGGAUAUGGAGAAAGAACUAAAGAAUCUAAAAGUUGAGAAACAAACCAUUCAAAAUGAAAAGGAGGAACUAGAGAGGAUGAAAACUGACCUUCAAAGACAAGCUGAAGACUUGAAGAAACUACCUGAGAAGACAAAGGAUGAAAGACAGAAGGCAGAAGAGAUGGCAGCCAAAUUUAAAAAGCAAUUAGACAUCAGUGGUAUUCCUUCGGAUGAGACAGAGAAGCAGAGUAAGGAAAUUCAGUCAACCAAAGACUUGCUUCGGGAAGAAAGGUCUGAGCUGGAGAAAACCAAAGCAGAGAUAAAACAAGCCAAGGAAGAAUUAGAGAGUCAAAGAACUGACUUACAGAGAGAAAAAGACAUUCUUAAGCAAGUGAGUAUAAAUAAUUUGAGACAAACAGCUCAAAUUGAAGAUGAGAAGGAAAAAAUACAACACAAAGAGUAUGAACUAGAACAAAUGAGAGCAGAACUUCAAAACAAACAAAAAGAAAUGGAUGACAUGAAAAACAACAUAAUAAAAGAAAAAGCUAAUAUGGAGAAUCUGGAUCAAAAGAGAGCUGAGUUGGCUAGAGACUUGGAAAAGCUACAAACUGAGAAACAAGCUUUUAAAAAUGAGCAAGAUAAGCUGGAAAAGAAGAGAGAGGAUAUUGAGAAGUUAAAGCUAGAAGUUCAGAAAAAAGGGCAGAGGGCUGCAGAAGAGUUAGAAAAAGAGAGAAAACAAUUUACUAUGGAGAUCAAAAUGAAAAAUGACACCCUGGAUGAAAUACAAGCUGAGAUAGAAAGACAGAAACAAGCCAUUGCUGUAGACAAAGCGAUCACUACAAAAGAAAAGAUAGAUCUGGAAAAAAACAAGGAACAUUUCAAAAGACAAUCCGUGGAGAGUGACAUCACACGUGCAGACCUGCAGAAAGAGAGAGCUAGUCUUGAUCAGAUGAGUGUGGAGAUCUUUAAGCAAAAACAGGACCUAGAGAGAGAAAGAGGUGAACUGUUAGAACGGCAUCAGCUGAUGGAAACACUAAAAAAGGACAUUGAAAAUGUGGAACAACUCAGAAAAGAGCUUUCAGAUCAAAAAGAAGUGACUGAGAAAAGCAGAACACAGCUGAAACAAGACAUAGAUGACAUGGAACAAAACAAAUCAAAUCUGCAAAAAGAAUUACAGGAGAUAAAAGUUCAAAAACAGGAUAUUCAAGAUGAAAGAGCUCAACUAGAGCAAAUUAAAGCUGAGUUAGCAAAAGAAAGAGAAGCAAAUGAUGAAAUGUUGAGAGAGGCUAAGAAAGAAAUGGAGAAAUUGAAGGAGAUCAAAUCAAAUAUUCUAAUCCAAAAAGAAGAGUUUGAGACUAAAAGACAGUCAGAAGUAGAGGAACUCAUUGGUAUGAGAGCUGAAAUACUCAAACAGAAAGAGGAAUUAGAGGACAAGAUGCAAAAGACUAAACGUGAAAUGAAAGAAUUGAAGCUUCUUCAGGAUGAAACUGAUGGGAAGAGGAAAGAUCUUGAACACAAGAUGAGACAGGCAACAAGAAAGAAAGAUGAGCUGGAGAAAAUGAGAGCUUAUAUUGAAAGUGCAAAUGAGAAACUUGAAAUGAACAGGGUCCUGUUAAGUAUAGAGCUUGAUGAGAUGGAGCGAAUGAAAGCUGAGAAACAACGAGCGGGAGAAGAACUACAUAUGGAAGAGAGAGCUGGAGAUCUGGAAGAGAAAGAACAAAUAAACACCAAGAUACAGAGGCUUAUUCAAGAGGCUGAACAUGACCUGGAAAGAAGCAUGCCAAGAGAUGUUAAUGUUCAAGCGGAUUCAGAAGAAAGGCAAGAAAUGAGUGCUUACAUGCAGAGGCUGAUUCAGGAAAUUGAGCAUGUCAGAGAGGUUCUCAGAAGAAUGAAAGAUGAAGUCAAGGCUGCUAGAAAAGAAAGAUUUGAACUGGAGAACAUAAGGCUGGAAAUUGAAGCCAUGAAACAGAGCAUGAAAGAAACCUAUGAGCAACAGAACAAUGAGAUACAAAAAGAGAAGCAGCAAAUAGAGAGUACCAAAGACUUGUUGAGCAGAGAGCGAAGUGAUCUUGAGCAAAAUAGAGCUGAUUUGGAGAGAAAAAAACAAGAAAUGGCAUUGGACAAACAAAAACUCCAUGAUGAAAAUGAACUGCUGAAGACAGAAACGGCUGACAUGAAGAAACAAUAUGAAAUUCUCCAAAGCCAUCUAAAAGAAACUAGAGAAAGUGCAGGAGAAACAGUUACACUUUCUAAGAAAAUGAAAGGAAUGGGGAGAGAUUCAGAGGAAUUAAGGGAGAAAAUGGAAGCAUUAAGCAUGGGCGACCAGCAAGAAGAGAGUGAGAGUCAGUUAGAUAAAGUUAAAAGACAAAUAGACAAACUGACAGAGUUGAAGGCUGAGCUGGAUCAACAGCAGGUAGAACUUGAGAAAAAUAAAGCAGACUUUAAACAUCAGAUGGAUGAGCUAGAAAACAUGAGGUCUGAGAUAUUAAAACAUAAAAAGGACACGAGAGAGGUGGAGCUGAUGGAUAUACAGAGACAAAGAGAGGUCCUAGAAACAAGGAUUCAGAAAAUGAUGCACGAGAAGGGAGAACUGGAAGUCUUAAGGUCUGAGAUAGUCAUAGAAAAGAAAGAUCUGGACCAGAAGAUGAAACAAGUUAUGAGAAAGAGGGAUGAGAUGGAGAAAAUGAAGACUGAUAUAGCAAAGGCCAAAGAGGAGAUCAACAGAGAUCGACAGGAGCUGGAAAUACUCAGGAAUGAUGUUCAAAGCUCAAGAGAGGAUUUUGAACUAUUGGUGGAGAAAACUGUGAAUCUAGAAAAUGAGGAAAGUACCAAUGCAGACAUCCAAAGACUGAUUUUAGAGGUUGUGAAAAUCAGCGAAAUGGUGAGAAAUCUAAAAGUUGACAUGGAGAACCGGAUGGAGGAAAGUAAGGUGGUGAGAGAUGAAAAGGAAAACUUCAAGUCUGAGAUCCAGAGGCUCAUUCAAGAUAUUGGACCAAUACGGGAACAUCUUGGAAGCCUUAGAGAAGAUAUAGAAACCAUCAGAAGAGACAAGAAUGAAUUGGAAAAGAUGAGGGCAGAACUUGUAGAGAAGCAACAGGCAGAAGAGAGCAUGCUGCAGAAAGAAAGAGAAAAACUGGAGCAGCUGAAAGAUGAGAUAAACAGAGAAAAGGAGGAUAUGGAGACCAAGAGAGAGCUGAUUAAGGAAGAAAUAGCUAAAGAAAAAAUGGAAGAGUUCAAAGACACAAGAAAGAACAAGAAAGAACUGCAAAUGGUCACUGAGGAACUCUUGAGAAACAAGAGUGAUGUAGAACAGCUCAACAAAGAUAUAGAAAACCUGAGGCAAACCAUGGAAGAAAUGAAAACACUGCAUGAAAAGAAAAGGGCUGAACUGGAAGGCAUUAUUUCUGAAGUAAAGAGGACAGAUCAGAUACUGGAGAAGCAGAAACAUGAGUUGGAGGAGAAGGGUUGGAUUGUUAAAGAAAUAGAGAAAAAGAAAGACAUACUUGAAAAGAUCAAUAUGGAAAUACUGAGGAAGAGAGAAGAUAUGGAAAAAGAAAUGGACAAUUUAAGGCACAAAAAGCAAGAGCUGGAGCUCUUUAGAGGUGAACUCCAGAGACAGAGAGCUGAAAUCAAUCAACAAAGGCAUGAAGUGAGUGCUGCCAUGAAGGCCUAUGAUGUGGAACUGAAAAAUCUAGAAAAGAUGAGGAAUGAACUAGAAAAUGAGAGGGCUAAACUUGACGAAAAGCUCCAUGAUGCCACAAAAGCAGAGAAGAAACUAGAGGAAAUGAAGAGUGUACUAAACAAACAAAAAGAGCAAGUGGAAGUAAUGAAGCAGAUGGUCAUCACAGAGAGACAUUUAAUUGAACAAGAGAAUGCUGAGCUUCAGAAGAAGUCAGAGAUCACUGACAGACUCAUUCAGGAAGCAAACAAUGAGAGAGACAGAUUAACAGACCUCAGUCUAAAACUUCAAAUGCAAAGAGAAGAUAUAGAGAAUAUCAUCACAGAAAUAGAGACCAAGAAGAAAAAUCUAAAUAUAAUGAGUGCAGAACUUCAAGAUGAUAAGAUACGACUGAAAAAUGACAGGGAUGUUUAUGAAAGGGAAAUGACACAUCUGCAGCUUAAGAGGGAAGAGUUAGUGAUGGAAACAGAGGACCUGGAAAGAAAAACCUUACAGCAGAAAGAACAAGAUGAGAUGGCGAAACGAGAGAUUCAAAAUCAGAAAGAGGCUCUAGAGCAAAUGAAGGUGGACAUUCUGAAGGAAAGAGAGGAUUUUGACAAAGAGAAGAAAAAUGUACAUUCAGAAAAACAGAAACUGGAUACACAACAAGGAGAACUGCAAAGAAAGGAAUGUGAGCUUGAAAAUAGAGUAAAAACUUUCAUGGAAGAGCAGCAGCAGCUGAAACAGACUCAAGAUGAAAUAUAUAAAAUCAAGAAGGAGAUUCAAAGCAAUCUGGAAAUAAAGGAGGCUGAAAUUCAAGAGGAGAGACAGAGAUUAAUGGAAAUGGGUGAAACAAUGACAAGAGAAUGCAAUGAAUACAGAAAGCUGAUUGAAGAAGUGCAGAAAGAAAAAGAGCAGAUUGAAAUCAGCAAAAAGUUGAUGGAUCAAGAGAAGGAUGAUCUUAAAAACAUGAAAAAUGAUCUGGAGAUGCAAUUGCAAAAUCUAAGACAUGACAAACUGAAUUUAGAAGAUGAGAUGAAAGCACUAGAACGGAUAAGAGCAGAAUCCAAAGAGAUUCAAAAUGUUAUCAAGAAGGAAAGAAAGGAUCAAGAGAAAUGCUGGCUGGAAAUUGAGGGUGAAAAGCAAAGAGUGGAGGAAGAAAUCAGACAAUUAGAGAGACAGAGGGAAGAAACAUAUAAACUUCACAGCGAGUUGCAAAUAAUUAGAGAUGACACUGAAAGUAGGAAAGAAAAGAUUGAUAAAGAAAUUAAAGAAUUGUUGCAAAUGAGGGUUGAACUGGAGAGAACAAAAGUGGAAAUUAAAAAGGAUAAUCAACAACUUCAAGAUGAUAAAUUUAACCUUGAAAAGACAAAAGCUGAGAUAAAGAUACAGACAGAUAAAUUGAUACUUAUAGACACUAAUUUAAAGGAGAAAGAAAGAGAAAUGAAAAUCCAACUAGAUAAAGACAGAGAAGAAAUUACAUGUUUGUCUGAAGAGACUGAAAUGAAAAUGAGGGACCUUGAUAUGACGAUGAAGGUGAUGGAGAGACAAAAGCAAGAAAUUGAGAAAACAAAAGUGAUGCUUGAAAAGGAAAAGACAGAAAUUGAUAAAGAAAAGAAAGACUUGGAAAACCAAAUGAUGGACCAGACUGAGCAGAUAGAAAAGGACAGACUGGCCCUUGAGGAGAUGAAGGAAGAACUUCUUCAUGAAAAACAAGAAAUGGAGGAAGAGAGGAAUAACUUGAUGGCUUUAAGCAACAAACUAGAAGUUUUAAGAGCAGAGACAAGGAACAAGCAAAAUGAAAAUGAGAUUUUGAAGAAGAAACUUAUUUUGGAAAAAUCAAACAUAGAGGAAUUGCAGUUUGAGGUACUUAACCAGCAGCGACAGAAUGAUCAAACCAGUGAGGAAAACAAGAAAGAGAGAGAAGAUCUGGAAAAACAGAGGUUUGAAACUGAACAGCAGAAACAGAUGUUGGAGCUUAGCAUCAUAAAAAUUAAUGAGGAGAAGCAAAAACUUCAGAAAGCCAAAGAAGAAAUGGAAAACAUAAAAUACAUGACCAACAAAGAAAGAGACAAGGUUGAACAAAUGCAAGCUGAGAUACACAGUCAGAUUCAGUCGACUGAACUACAAAUGCAACUCAUGCAAGACAAGCAGAAUGCUCUUGAGGAAAAAGAGCUAAACAUACAGAGGAGGGAAAGGGAAGUAGAGAGGAGAAACAUAGAAUUAGAUGGAAUCGCUGCUCAGCUUCACAUUGAACAGGAACAUUUAGAUACUGUUCUUGAGGAAACCAAUAAGAGACAACAUGCCCUUGAAGUGAUAAAACAAAAAAAUAAUAAAGACUUUGAGUUGCUUGAGAAGAUACGGCAUGAAAUAGACAACGAAAAGAUAGAAAUGAAGCAGAAACAAGAUGAUCUGCAGAUUUGGAGUAAACAACAGAAAGAUAAGGUUCAAGUCCAGUUAGAAGAGCUAGAGAAAGAAAGAGAAAAACUGGAAAAAAUGAAGAUUCUUGCUGAGAGAGAACAAUCUGAAAGAGAGAGAGCUGAUAUAAAUAGGCUAAAUGGUGAAAUAGAGACAAUGAGACAAACAGUGAUAAUUCAGAAGAGUGAGCUGGAGCAGAGAGAGAAAUAUAUUACUGAGCAGCAGCAAAGACUGGAUCAAAGUGUAAAAGAGGUAACAGAAGAAAGAAGUGAAAUGGAUAAGAUGAGGCUUGAACUAGAAGCUCGGAGACAUCGAAUUGAAGAUGACAUGAACACUGUUGCAAAGCAGGAAAAAGAACUUGCACAACUGAGAGAUGAAAUACAAAGAGAAAAACAAGAAAUUGGUGAGAACAGGAACAUGAAUAACAAGUUAAUGAAAGAUCUGGAAAUUAUGAAAGCCAAGCUGGAGGAACAACAAGAAGUGAUCCAAACUGAAACAGAAAAACUCCAAAAGGAAAGAAAACUAGUUGACCAGACAAAAUCUGAGGUUCAGAAUGAUGCUGAAAAUCUGAAAAACGUAUCUGAAGAGAUCAAAAGGAAGCAAGAAAAAACUGAGAUAAGGGAGGCCCACCUUAACCAAAUGAUGGAGCAAUGUGUCAAUACCAUGGAAGAAACUAAGAGGAAGAAGAGUGAACUAGAAAGAGAGAAACACUGA
ensembl:lncRNA